AAGGCUUGACAUGGGGAAGACUGGACGAGAGAUCGUCCUUCUCUAGCAAUAGAGCUUCCCACACAGGUGCUGCAUGGCUGUCGUCAGCUCGUGUCGUGAGAUGUUGGGUUAAGUCCCGCAACGAGCGCAACCCCCGUUUCUAGUUGCCAUCAUUCAGUUGGGCCCUCUAGAGAGACUGCCGCGAAUAACGCGGAGGAAGGUGGGGACGACGUCAAGUCAUCAU
rnacentral:rRNA from 1 species